UACGUAGGGGGCAAGCGUUGUCCGGAUUUAUUGGGCGUAAAGAGCGUGUAGGCGGCCGUACAGGUCAGCUGUGAAACUCGAGGCUCAACCUCGAGACGUCGGUUGAAACCGUACGGCUAGAGUCCGGAAGAGGAGAGUGGAAUUCCCGGUGUAGCGGUGAAAUGCGCAGAUAUCGGGAAGAACACCCGUGGCGAAGGCGGCUCUCUGGGACGGUACUGACGCUGAGACGCGAAAGCGUGGGGAGCGAACGAGGA
rnacentral:rRNA from 1 species